GCAACCCAUGAACUGUUGGCAGCUGCUCUAAGCGACUGCACACGGAUUCUGGCAGCAAAGCUGCUGUGAGUGGUUCUGCGCUGGCUUUCAGCAUGACUGAAGUGCUUCCUCCGAUGAGCCGAAGUCUUUACGUGGGUUAGGAAGACGUGUGAACUUGCAGCAGCCUGCAUCUGAAACUGGAACCUUGAUCCACCAGGGCUCUGCAAACUUGUAAAAACACCCCCUGGAACAAGGCAGCUGAUUCACGGGGUGUGGGCAGGCGCCUCUCCCCCUGCAGAGCUGGCUCUUCCACCUCUCAUCCAAGCCCGGGCACCAGGUCUUCCCGCCUGCACUGCCUCGGACACUGGUGUUGGUUUGGAUCUUGUGAGAUGCCUCCACCAAGGCUCCUCUGCCACAGCACCCAUCCCCAGCACAUCCUGCCUGCAAACAGGCCUCCGGCUGUGCCCUUCCAUGUGCCACCCUGUCUCCCAUUCCCUGGGCCCAUAGGUGAUGCUGUGCUGGAUUGUGAAAGGCAAAGCUGUGCUUGAAAAGCAGAGAACGCAAAGGAGGACUCUGUAACCCACCAGGCAAGGAUCUGACCUGCCACGGGAGAACAGUCUAUUUCUUAAAGCUACAUUUGCUUCCUUAAGACCAUUUAAGGAUGUGUCUGGGUCUUAAAAUACAAUAAUUCUGAAUCAAACACAAACUAUGGCCAUGGCUACACAGCCAAUGAUCUGGGAGAGCUGGUGCUGGCAGGCUGCUGCUGGCUGGUAUCUCACACAACAUAAGAAGCGUAUAGUGUUCACCUUGACUUAAUUUAUGGUGGUGCUACGUAUUUUAAGUGUGAAGGACUGUUAGUUGCAAGCUGGUGGGCUCAACUUAGUUUACAGCCACCUUUUAUGGCCCGUCUAGUAAGGUCCAUUGGGAAAGGGUCUCUAAUAUCCAGCUGCCGAGUGUUUUAAAAAGGAAAAGAUGUAUUUCCAGCUAAAUAAUAAUAGAAGUGGGUUGAUCAGUAAAGCUGUCUUACCUGGCAUUUGUCUUCAGAGUUUUGACCACGUGUGCCUUGCUUUAAGCAUUUUUAGAAAUUUCCCUGGCAUGAAAGAAAUGGAGACUCCAGGACCUGAAGGAAUUUAGCCAAAAGGCAGGUAAGAAUUCUCCCUCCUGCAUUACUGAUGAGGAAACUGAGGCUGGGAACAAAAUACAGAAAUAGAAUUGGAAAUGCUUUAUUCCCAGUUGUAGCAUAGAUUUGGGGAUGUAAUUGUCCCUCUCUGCUAGGCCUGCAUUGAGCCCCAUGCUGCUGCCCUGCGUUGGGGAACAGCACUCGUAUGGUUAUUCGCGUCUGCUCAGCAUGGGAAAGCACAAACUCCUCGCAGCUCGUUUCUAUUCGAGCCACAAGAUCCCCUUCCGUGUUUCCUUUGGAUUAGUAAUUGUUGGGAGUUACCAUCUGUCGAGUGGCAAAGAGUAAAAGAUUAAACAACCUGGCAAUUCCUUGUUCCUUCUCUUCAGGCGUUUUCACAGGACUGGAUGAAGCACAGGCAUGUAUUUAGCAUUAGUUUGUAAGCAGUCACGUAGGAAUGAAUUCCAUUUUUUUUGGGGGGGGGAAUAAAGGUUAAACUAUACUGGUGAGCAGCACCGUGCCUGACCUGACUCUGGACACCAUCUGCUCUGUACAAUCUCUG